UAGCUAGUUGGUGGGGUAAGGGCCUACCAAGGCGACGAUCGGUAGCUGGUCUGAGAGGAUGACCAGCCACACUGGAACUGAGACACGGUCCAGACUCCUACGGGAGGCAGCAGUGGGGAAUAUUGGACAAUGGGGGGAACCCUGAUCCAGCAAUGCCGCGUGUGUGAAGAAGGCCUGAGGGUUGUAAAGCACUUUCAGUGGGGAGGAGGGUUGAUAGGUUAAGAGCUAAUUAACUGGACGUUACCCACAGAAGAAGCACCGGCUAACUCCGUGCCAGCAGCCGCGGUAAUACGGAGGGUGCGAGCGUUAAUCGGAAUUACUGGGCGUAAAGCGUGCGUAGGUGGUUGAUUAAGUUAUCUGUGAAAUCCCUGGGCUUAACCUGGGCAGGUCAGAUGAUACUGGUUGACUCGAGUAUGGGAGAGGGUAGUGGAAUUUCCGGUGUAGCGGCGAAAUGCGUAGAGAUCGGAAGGAACACCAGUGGCGAAGGCGGCUACCUGGCCUAAUACUGACACUGAGGCACGAAAGCGUGGGGAGCAAACAGGAUUAGAUACCCUGGUAGUCCACGCUGUAAACGAUGUCAACUAGCUGUUGGUUAUAUGAAAAUAAUUAGUGGCGC
rnacentral:rRNA from 1 species